rnacentral:rRNA from 1 species
AACGAACGCUGGCGGCAUGCCUAACACAUGCAAGUCGAACGAGACCUUCGGGUCUAGUGGCGCACGGGUGCGUAACGCGUGGGAACCUUCCCUUAGGUUCGGAAUAACUCCCCGAAAGGGGUGCUAAUACCGGAUAAUGUCUUCGGACCAAAGAUUUAUCGCCUUUGGAUGGGCCCGCGUUGGAUUAGCUCGUUGGUAGGGUAAAAGCAUACCAAGGCGACGAUCCAUAGCUGGUCUGAGAGGAUGAUCAGCCACACUGGGACUGAGACACGGCCCAGACUCCUACGGGAGGCAGGAGUGGGGAAUAUUGGAAAAUGGGCGAAAGCCUGAUGCAGCAAUGCCGCGUGAGUGAUGAAGGCCUUAGGGUUGUAAAGCUCUUUUAACCGGGAUGAUAAUGACAGUACCGGGAGAAUAAGCUCCGGCUAACUCCGUG